GAUGAACGCUGGCGGCGUGCUUAACACAUGCAAGUCGAACGGAAAGGCCCAAGCUUGCUUGGGUACUCGAGUGGCGAACGGGUGAGUAACACGUGGGUGAUCUGCCCUGCACUUCGGGAUAAGCCUGGGAAACUGGGUCUAAUACCGGAUAGGACCACAUUUUGGAUGGUGUGGUGGAAAGUUUUUCGGUGUGGGAUGAGCUCGCGGCCUAUCAGCUUGUUGGUGGGGUAAUGGCCUACCAAGGCGUCGACGGGUAGCCGGCCUGAGAGGGUGUACGGCCACAUUGGGACUGAGAUACGGCCCAGACUCCUACGGGAGGCAGCGGUGGGGAAGAUUGCACAAUGGGCGCAAGCCUGAUGCAGCGACGCCGCGUGGGGGAUGACGGCCUUCGGGUUGUAAACUCCUUUCGCUAGGGACGAAGCGUUAUGUGACGGUACCUGGAGAAGAAGCACCGGCUAACUACGUG
rnacentral:rRNA from 1 species